CUGAGGAACUAUCAGAUGUAGCUGAGGAACUAUCAGAUGUAGCUGAGGAACUAUCAGAUGUAGGACUACUAAACAGAUGAAUAGGUUUUGGGUUUGGAUGAUCGUGAUUGGCCGGUUACAGAUGCUUUUACCAAUGGUAAUCAUGUGAGUGUUCAGCAAGUCCCCAUAUUUGUGCUAGUGUUUUUUUUAAAUGGCCUGUAUUGACAUGCGUGCUAGCUCUGGCUGUUGGCACACACACUGCAGCUGUAUUGUUCUUGUUUGCUGGCUUGCCCGUAUCGUGUUGUUAGAGCUGAUAAAUUGGACCCACGUCUGGUUUUGGCGUCUCUGAACUUUCUCUGUCUCUCUCCGACUGCACUGGAACAACGUUAAACCCGUUUCAGUUCGAAAAAGCAUAGAGACAGAUUACUAUAAUGUUGCGUUACACUGUAUAAUUACCGUUUGGUUCCAGAUCAUUUACGUUUAUUGACUACCUGAACUCUGUGACUCACAGACGAGUAUCACAACAUGCUGUCAGGCCUACAAUACAGGCAUAUUAGUUACUGCGUGCUUACUGAUUUGUUUUUGCUAAAUGAAAUGCAGGUUAUUUGCUCGAGGUUGGAUGAUUGAUUUGGCCAGUCAAGAACAUUCCAGAUUCUGGGCCCGAGCCUUGAUUUGAGUCUGUGCAGUGCUGCUGCAAGACGAAGUGGCGUUCAAAUGCUUCUUUGCACUAAAAUAAUCACUUCAACUGCCAGUCAGACAUGUUUAUGGCCUCAUGUUUCAGUUCUUCCUGCCGCGGCCCGGUGGAGCUGUGUUCG
ensembl:lncRNA